rnacentral:rRNA from 1 species
CCUACGGGUGGCAGCAGUGGGGAAUAUUGGGCAAUGGGCGCAAGCCUGACCCAGCAAAGCCGCGUGAAGGAAGAAGGCUUUCGGGUUGUAAACUUCUUUUCUCAGGGACGAAGAAAGUGACGGUACCUGAGGAAUAAGCCACGGCUAACUACGUGCCAGCCGCCGCGGUAAUACGUAGGUGGCAAGCGUUAUCCGGAUUUACUGGGGGUAAAGGGCGGGUAGGCGGGACUGCAAGUCAGAUGGGAAAACCACGGGCUCAACCUGUGGCAUGCAGUUGAAACUGGAGUUCUUGAGGGCUGGGGAGGCAGACGGAAUUUCUGGUGGAGGGGGGGAAAGCGGAGAAAUUAGGAGGGAAACC